AUUGAACGCUGGCGGCAGGCCGAACACAUGCAAGUCGAGCGAGCGGCGGACGGGUGAGUAAUGUCUGGGAAACUGCCUGAUGGAGGGGGAUAACUACUGGAAACGGUAGCUAAUACCGCAUACCAUCAGAUGUGCCCAGAUGGGAUUGGCUAGUAGGUGGGGUAAUGGCUCACCUAGGCGACGAUCCCUAGCUGGUCUGAGAGGAUGACCAGCCACGCUGAACCUGAGACCCGGUCCAGACUCCUACGGGAGGCUGGGGUGGGGAAUAUUGCACAAUGGGCGCAAGCCUGGUGCAGCCAUGCCGGGUGUGUGACGAAGGCCUUCGGGUUGUAAAGCACUUUCAGCGGGGAGGCGUUACCCGCAGAAGAAGCACCGGCUAACUCCGUGCCAGCAGCCGCGGUAAUUC
rnacentral:rRNA from 1 species